GCGGGGCCGGCCCCGCGGCCUCAGGCCCGGGCAGGGGUAGUGGCAGUGGGAAGGGUUUAUUUUAGGUGCUUUUCUUUUAUAAAUAAUACUGUUAAUAGUAGCGUCAUGUUGAAAAGGACUUUUCCCCAUGGCCUGCAGACGGGUGUUGCGGGUUAGGAGCGAUUUUUAGCCUUCAGAAAGUUCCAGGCCCAAUCCUCUUGGUUCAGCAGUGAGCUCAAAACCAGGGAGCUGAAACUGUUGACCGCACCUGCCAGCAAAGGGCAAGAGCAGAAAGCUGCAAUGCUCAUUGUGAGUUAUGGCAUCAUUCACCCCAACCUGGUGUGCUGAAACCAACAACAGUGGGAUGGAGACCCUGCACACCAGAUUCAACGAGAGGUCCCCACAAUGGCGGAAAUGCUGUUUUGGUCUCAAUUUCUAUUUUCAUCUUUCUCCAUUAUGUUAUCUGAAGAGCAACAAGAACAGAUGGAUGCUUCCUUAGCACCUGCUGCUGUGGGAGUCUUCUGAAACACUUGCAAUUUGAGGCUCACAUCAAAGUCAUGUCCCUGUAUUGACAUGAGAAGUCAAUACUUACAACAUUGGGGAAAACAGAAGAUGAAACCAUGAAUGAAUGUGCACUGUUGGCUGCUCAGCUAAGGCUGUUUAUAUGAAGAAGUGGCUUGCACAGGGGUGAGAGACUGGGAAGCAGUUGUUUUCUGAAAUAUAGCUUUUGGCUUAAAGAAUAUGUGUCCUGCUAAUUACUCCAAGAUCAAGUAUAAUUGAGGAGAUGUACAACUGUGGUAGUUUGGUCUAGGCCUUCCUUGGUGACCAGUUUGUAACCAAGGAAGGGUCCAGAUUUACCCAGUAUUCCCUACGAUUUUUACGUAAGCCAGGCUAUAAGAAGAAAGGAGGAGAGGCCUUCGCCCCUCUUUCCUUCCGGCAGCUUGGAGGUGCAGGUUCCCUGCUGUUGAGUCUGUUGUGUUGGGGAGCGAGGCCUGGUAAGGCCUUGCUGACCUUGGGAGAUGGAGGUUGCCGGCGAUCGUUCCAGAGUGUACUCCCAAGGAGAGUAGUGAGAUAUUUCUUUGCUAACUCUUUUAGUUGAUAGAUCUUGGGCUACUAAUCGGGAUAUAUAUAUAUUUUUUAUUUUGGUUUUGUUCCUUUUCCCUUCCCCCUUCCUUUUCCCUUUUGAAAUUAUAUAUAUAUUUCAAUUGUAUAUAACUGUAACAUAAGUGUAAAUAUAUUUAUAUUAUAUUUAUAUAUAUUGCUUUAGCUGUCUCUCUCUCAUUUCGGUUUUUCUUGGUUGUUUUUCUCCCUUUUCUCCCUGAGGUUUGGGGGCAGGGGGACUUCUUGUGGUAAGGUUUGGAGACUUGGCAGGGAGCCAGCUUCAAACCAUAUCAACAACUAAUCUCAGAACUUUUUAUUCCUUCUCUUUCCAAAAGCAAGUGUUUUAGCGUAGUUUUCAAAAAAUCCAGUCUACAGCAUCAUCUGCUUACACAGCCAGGAAAUGUUAAGUGGUGUGAAUAUGUCAUAGAGAGGGUACAGCUAAGUCAAAGUUAGGCAACUCAACUGGAAAAAUAAACAAACAUCUUUUGCAGUGGAGGAAAUAUCCACUAGCUUUAAUGACUGUCUGCAGUGACUGCGGUGAGGUUUGUCAAGUUGAUUUCUUUGAAAUAAAUUGGCUUCAAACACCAAACAAACAAAAAUAUCUUUCUUCCACUUUUUAAGUGGAUGCUUGAGUCACCUGGUGGCAUCUAGCUUGAGCAAAAGAAGACAUAAACUUACUUAAAUGCUAUCUUUUCAAAUGUUUCUGUAGACUCUGUCAGGUGUUUCAGAUUGCAAGUUUGUUUUUCUUUAACUGUAUAGAAUGAUUUGAUUUUCAGUCUUGGCAGGUGACACAGUGAUGACACCCAAACAGCAUUAGCAGGAACCUUCUUUUGCUACGACAGUUCACCCACACUUUAUAACAGUCUUGUUCAAUGACUCACUUGCUCUGUUGCUACAUAAUUUCUUCCUUUCUCCUGUGAGCAGGGAACAGCAGUAACUUCAUCUUUGGCUAUUCAUCUCAGGGCUCUUUGAAAGUCCAUUCAUAUUCAUCUGGUUCAUCUCUAUUUUCUUAAAGGAAAAUUGAGAUUUUUGUCCAUACAAUGUAUAAUAGUGUGUGGGCUUGCCUUUCAACUCUAUUUAUCUAAUUACAAUUAUAUUUGCAAGUAGUUAUAUCAAAGAUUCUGCAGCCAUAACAAGAUUUGUAACUUGCAGUACUGCUGAAGGUGUGAAAUAUGUAUGUGUGUAUACUUGUCCCUGACUUCUCACACAAUAUUUUAAUGUAAAACUUUGAGAGUUAUUUAUAUACCUACUCAAAGUUCUAGAGUAAUUACUGUAGAGUAAAUAAUAAAAAAAAAAAGUGAUGCAAAAAAUAUAAAUCUUGUUUUAUGUUUGGGGGCUGUACUAAACAUAAUUUGCCAGAAAGCUGCAUCUUGUGUUUGCAGAGUGUUUAUCAGACUUCACUAUUUAUAACAGAUGGAACUACAGCAUUCUGAAUGUUUCUAUUAAACAGUAAAUGGCACUGCAACAUAAACACAAUAUUGCGGAAAUUUGGUCUUGCAAAUUAAAUUCUACAACCCGGCAGAUAGCUUACAAAUUUAAAAUCGUCUUCUCUUUUGUAGAAUAUAACUAUAGCAGAUAUACAUUGCCACAUGCUCAGGAAGGUAACAUUAUUGCUGCAUACUCUGAAAAACAGGAAGGGGAGGAUAACACUGAUAAUUCUGCAAGGGCCAUUGCAUGGAUUUCAUGAGGCACUAUCACUUAUGGAAAGAAAUGAAUGGUCAAGCAACAAAGACAAUCUCUCCUAGCAGGUAAAGAAAGUUCAGCCUUCACCUGGCAUUCUGACAAUUCCAGACAUCAGAUAGUGACAAAUUUAAACAGUGCUCUUAGAUUUGGGAAUCAAUAUGUAAGAUGUAGUGUGGUUGAACUUUGGAACUAAUAUAAGCUGCAUCAUGAUAACGCAAGAAAUACCACAAAUGGUAUUGACAUUCUGACAACAUCUAUAUUAAGUACCUUUAAACCUUCCAAAAAUAUUUACGGUAGCUGCAAGUGAUUCUAAUAGAUCUGAUGCACAUAGAAUGUUCAGGCAAGUGGAUUGUGCCUGUAAAGGUUAUGAACACAUCUGAUCCAUAAAACUCAGAUUCUUAACUGACCUGUGUUUUUCCUAGUGACACUUAAUUAUUUCAGCUAUAAGAUCUAUAAUGUGCUUGGUAGAUUUUGAAUUUUUUCUUGAAUGAAGAUAAACUUCAUUCAUCUUGAAUGAAUGAUGAACUUCAUCAAACUUUUAUCCAGAAUGGCAUUAAACAAAUCUGGCAACUGAAAAUCUGGCAAGAUAUUUUUAUUAAAACAGUUGGGGUUUAUACUUUUGAAAUUGCCUGCGGCUUUUUAUGAGAUUUUUUGGGAAAAAAACCAGUUUUUCUAUAUUUAUAACAGUGGUUCAUCAAUUGUUAUUAACUAAAGGCAAAAGGUUCAAUAUAAUGCUAAAAAUAAAGUUAUAGUUUGUAGCUGAGCUUCUUCAAAAAGGUUCUUAUUUUUGUGUUAGUGGACUCCCAUCUCUUUAUUUCAGGUUUAAUAAUUCAUUUUUGCCUGUGAGAGUCUUUUCUUUCUGAAACUUGGCAUGACAUAACUAUGAUAUUAUUAAUCUGCAUUGUACACACUCAAGCCUGAAUCUUUGUGAGGGAGGCAAACAUUUCAACUGAAAAGCUUAAAUUAAAUGUUUUGUCACAAUUCAGCUCUUAUGCAGGAAGCUGAAUGGCUUAUAAUUGUGAGCUCUUUAGCUGAUACAGGACCACCGAUUUUAGAAAGCUGAAGUGAUUAGCAAGGCCAGCUAUUUCACUUAAUCUGACCAAGGAAAUAGUUUAAUUUCUGAUUGUUUUACUAAUGGCAGAAAGCAAUUCUUGGAAUAGAAUAUUUCAGUUGGAAGGGACCUAGACCAAUCAUCUAGUCCAGCUGACUGACCAGUUCAGAACUGAUGAAAAGUAAAAUCAGGUUGUUAAGAGGAUUGUCCAAAUACCUCUUGGGCACUGACAGGCUUGGGGCAUUGGCCAUCUCUCUAGGAAGCCUGUUCCAGUGUUUGACCACCUUCUCAUAACAAAAUGCUUCUUAAAGUCCAGUUUGAACCUCCUGUGAUGCACCUUUGAACCAUUUCAUUCUGUCCUAUCACUGGGUCCCAGGGAGAAGAGAUCAGCGACUCCCUCUCCCCAUCCUCAGGAAGCUGUAGAAAGCAAUGAGAUCACCCCUCAGCCUCCUUUUCUCCAAACUAGACAAACCCAAAGUCCUCAACUGUUCCUCAUAGGACUUGUGUUCUAAGUUCAAAUCAAGUGGUAAUAGAUGACCAGAGUUGAAAUUACUAUGUAUGCAUGUCUGUACAACAGAAGGAAAACAUAGGAAACAGCAAGAAAAUUAAGUUCAGAGAGCAAUCCAAACCAGAGAACUCAAAGUAAAAUAUUAUCAGGUGAAAGAUGUGUCUCCUGUUUCUUAUUUUCCACCAUAUUCAGGAAAAUAGGAUUUCAUGUACAUCUUCCAAAAAUAAACAAGAUUACAACAAAUACAUUCCUGAUUGCAAAAUCAAUUUCAGGGGAAAAUAAAACAAUCUGAAAGGUCUCAAACUGCUUAACUACUCAAGCUAUAACUCUAUGGAAUUGUAUCUUGCUAUUCUUCUUACUAUAGACCUGUAAGAAAAAAGAAGAGUUUUAUUUCCAAAGUAUUAGAGUUUGUGUGUUACAAACUGAAGAAAAAACUAAAAAAUUAUUUAUGAGGCAGCAAGGGAUUAUUGUACAUUCAUUUAAAACCAAAAUAUACAGUUCGUAAUUUAAAAGUAAAUAUAUUUAAAUGUUAUAUUUUUCUUAAAAAGUGAUUUACCCCAAGUGAGACAGCAAUGCUGAUUUGUCAUAAGAUAGCCAUUUUGCCGUACAGAAAUGAGAUAUUUUUCAUUUAGCAUUAUCUUGAUCAUUCUGUGAUAUAUAUAUAUUUCUUCUUACAUUAUUAUUUUUUAACUGUUAAAAUAAUCCUGUCAAUGGUAAAGGAACAGAUCAACUUUUCAAAGUUUACAUUUCCUUUCUUACCAAGGGAACAUGUUUAAAAAAAACCAAAACAAAAACACAAACUGCCCCAGAUCAUAACGAUAAAAAAGUAUUCUGGGCACUCUGCUAGAACAUAGGAAGUAAUCUUUGGUCCUGAAGAUUGGUGGUAUUUUUAAACAAAGAUGUUUUGAUGUAAUGUGUACCUGUCUGAGAAUCCUUGCCUGGAAAUUGGAGAUCUUUUCUCUCUUGGGUGAUUACCUUAAUGACAGACCUUUAUUUAGGCUUUGCUUCUCUGCUUUUCCGCAUGAUCCUUGUAUGCUGAGCAAUACAAUGGUGCGUAAGUCAUGGCUUGACCAUGUCUGAAAAUCAGGGUAUAUUUAAGAGAUUUUGGUUGAGACAAAGGAAUGCCUGCCUACAUGGGGAUUGCAAUGGAGUAUGAAUUGACAGGCAGAAACCGACCACCACCAAAAUCAAUGCCUAAGGGAUUAGACCAAGGUGAGUGGAUUGCUAUGGGGGAUGUAGCUGAAUUUUAGCCUCAUUUAAAAAGGCUUUAGCUAGACUCAUUCCUUCUGAUAUGUACCUGCUGAUGUAGACAGUUACUGCCUUCUUUUUACAAUUUUACAAUAACAGCAGCCAAAAACCAAAAGCACCCCCAAAAUGCCAGGUGACAAGGUGUUGUGAAUGAGUGUUUUAAGGCUGCUUAAAGACAUCACCACAGUAGUUUAUAGGUGUUGCUGAGACAGAUUAACACUCCUGGAGUACAACUGGCCCAUCUUUUGACAAAGAUUUUUCCUAUGGCUUCUGGCAAUGCAGCAGCCACAGUGAACAAACAGUAAAAUAACACUGAGACAUCAUCAUUCAAAUGUCACCAAGACAAAUGUCACCUGGUUUGGCAUCUAGAGACCACAGAGCUCUGGAUAUGCUAUAGCAAUACUUUUGUGCUUCCCCUGGGGGUAGGAAACAGCUCUCACCUUUUGCUGUGCACUUUUGAAGAACCUUCCACUCAAAAUUAACUGUGCCCAGCAAACAAAAAUUUGGUUUCUCUCCUAUUGUACAGUGAAUCAUUACAAACUUUUAUUAGAGGUCCAAAACUAAAAUAGAGUUUUAUUUCAGAUAAAAGAUUGUAAUGAAAAUAAAACCCAGAGAUACUCUUUGUGAAGACUGACAAAUUUCAAAGAAUGCAAAGUACAAACAUUCCAAACAUGCAGUUACAUAAACUAUUUCAUUUUGCAGUAAAACUUCAUAAAACAUUAAAUUUUUAAUGCUCCUUUACCAUAGAAUAUGCAAAUUAACCUUUACAAGUCUACAUCUUCCAACGAUAGAUGGCACUAGUAAUUCCUGCAUUCACCACAACAUUAAAUACUGUUAUAGCAUUUUAACAUAUGCAAAACUAAUCAUAACUGCCCAAGUAAUAUAUGACAAUCAACUCUGCUCUAAAACACUUACAUAGAUUUUUUUUCUCACAGCAAAACUGAAAGUUAUGAUAGCAGGAGCAACAUCUCAAAAAUAUUUUACUACUUAAAAUGAUUUAUCCAAACUGUGAACUAGGAAAAUAUUCCACUAUCAAUUACAUUGGUGUAAAUCACAAUGUUCAAUGCCAAAGAACAAGAAGAGAUUUCUAUUUAUUAGCACCCAUAAAGCCUGUUGUGUACUUGCAUAGGAGCAGUAGGAUGAUUUUUACUUUUCAUUAGAAAAUUAUCAAAGUAAUUUUAGGCAUAGGUCUAACUUAGAACAGUGAAAAAGACACUUUUAAAAGGACACAAAGUUUGUUGAUGUUUAUUUGUGCAACAGAAACACACCUGCUCCUUCAGGAGAGGAACCGCCUGAGUCUUCCCACAAAAUCAAGUGUCGGGAACUCCGCAUCAUGAGAUGUACUGCAAAGACAGUGUGGCAUCUCAGAGGAGAGAUCUGGACAUGCACACCUUAACAUAGCCCUAGGUUAGACAAGGAGCCUGUUAUUUAGCAGCCACAGAAGGCUAUUAAUCUUUCUAUCAGAUGACAUAUACACUGCAUUCCCUGUGCUCUUCAGCAAGGUGAAGGUGGGAUUGAAAUCAGCUGACUAGCAGCUGGUGAGAGAAGAAUAGGCAUGAGAUUUAUAGAUCUGAAGUAGUGAGCAGAGCACAGAGGACAAUUUUAUGGCAUAAAAGGAUUCAUGUGUUAGCAAAAAAUCAUGUGCCUGUGGUUUCCAUGAUAGAACAAUUCUUUUUUAGUAUGUAGGUUGCUGAAGUGUCUUCGGCAGACCAAAAGAAAAGGAGGACAGGGACAGGAAUUUGGACUUCACAUCAAAGUGGGUAUUCAUGCUGAUAUAACAGAACUUCAGUGUAAGAAGAAUACUGACCUCUGUCUACACUGGAAUAGCCCACUCCACAGUCUACUUGCCAUCAAAUGUCUUCCUUAGUAUAGACCAACAUCAGCUCAGAUCAUCAUUCUCAUUACAGAGCAUUAUGGGGAAACCCAUUUUUUAGAGUUUUUAGGCAAUAAAACCCAUGACUUCAGAAAUGGGAAAAGGUGUGAGGUAGCAGCAUCUGCUUUGGCAUUUGUGGUAACUAUAGUUUCAAGUUACUUUUGCCAUUAUCCCCCCCAUUCACCCAUUAUCAAAACAUACUGUUGUGUAUCAGUAGUUAAUAACUGUUGAAUCUCAGUGACAGUCCCUGGAAGGGAAAUGCUAUCAGGUAAGUCAGGGAGCCCUGCAUCCACCUCUGAAAUACAGUCUUCCUUUUCCAAGUAAUAUGGAUAGUUCAUUCCAUGCACUGUGGCAAAUCUCCAAGCAUCAUGCAGGGUUGAACUUUAAAUGAAGUCGGCAUGUUUGUAACAGCCAGGCUUAGUCAGUCCUAUUGUUUGGAAAAAUCAUCUCUAAACAGACCUUAAAAAUAACCAUUCAAUUUCUCAUUUAAUCUUUUUUUUUAAUUGACUUGUUGCAUUCUUUAGAUGUAUUGAAAUUCCACUACACAAGCUCCUGUGGGAAAAUAGUACUCAGCAAUUUGAAUUUGUUAGCUAGUCUGAACACAGAGGAUCUGAUUCUCAUUUAUGUUACAGUCGCUUUAUAUUGCUCAGGCAGUAAAUUGCAUUUACACUCAGUAAAUGAGCAACUGGAGUAGUGUAAAGGAACUUUAGCAUGAAUGAGAAUUAGGCCCAAAGCCUUUCUUAGUUUUUAUAGCAACUCUGUUAUUCAUCUCAAUUGGUGAGAUAGGGAUUGAUUGACAAACAAAGAGCAACAUGGUAUUACCUAGUUUGGAAGGAGAAUUGAGCCAGGGAUUAGGAAACCCCAAUUCAGUGAAGGAAAUCAGACUGGCUGUUAAAAGCCUGAAGUCCGACAAAACACUAAGGCCAGAUGGUUUCAGCAUACAUUUUUACAAUCAGCCAAGUAUAAAAGAUGAAAUAGCUCCCCUGCUGGUUAAAGUAUUUCAAAAUUAUUUACAGAUGGGAAUUAAUGUUAAUGACUCGUAUAGCUAACUCCCUACAUACCAUGCUGAAAAUUUACCGCCCUCGAGUUUAGUCCCAGCAAAUGCACCAGGAAGUUUCAUCAUUUGAAAAUGAAAAUAGAUUUUCCUCAUCUUACCAUGUACAACUAACCAUUUCAAUUUCACAUCUAAGAGGUUUAAACAGAAGUAGGAUAAUGAGGGACAGAGCUAAUACCAGAAACGUCCUCAACAUGAAGAUUAUUUUAACUGUAAAUUCCUACAGCAGAAGAUUUACUCAUAAAACAUAACAUACAGUAGAAGUGUGUUAUGGAGAGGACUGAUAUUAAAGAUAUAAGCAAGAGUGGUUCCGGGGAAUAGGGAGCUCUAUUUCUGGGUGAGUGGCUCAGAGCCAUGUUAGGUCAAAAUGCAGAUUUCACCAGUUAACAUUCCCGUGAGGCAGCUACUCACAUGAAAAAAGUACUAAUGGGCCACCUAACUGCACAUGUAAGUAAAACACAGAACAUUCUGUUCUUUUUAUCUGAACAUAUUUAUUGAUCAUUUGCCUAGAUACAAUUUCUUAGAUCUAACCCAAUCAAGAAUUUAUAAUAAACAAUAAAGAAAACAGAAAAUUCCCCCACUGUGGACUUUUAGUCAGCUUAAAUUAAUGCAGAUUUUCUCCUGUGUACAGAUUUAAAAUUAAGCUUUUGCCUCACUAAGUGGCACAGGUGAAGUAGACUGGAAUCUGAAUGAGCAGUUUUAGAUUUCUCUCCUCUUCACAGAUAAAAAUCUCACUAAUCAUUGCACUCCCUUAACAGAUUCAUUUCUCUGAGGUACAACUAACUUACUGUCUGAUCUCUCUUCUCUCAUUAAAAAGCAAACAAUUUAAAAAUAGUCCUUGAUCAAGGUCCUUUCAAUUGCUCAUUUUACAAAUAGGGAUAAUCCAAAAUGAAUGAGACCUAGAAUAAAUUUCUGCUAUUAGUCAUAUGUAAUUACAGCCAGAAAAAUGACACUUUCUUUUUAAGAUCACAUUCUGGAUCUUGGCUAGCAUGGCAGAUUAAUGCAGCACUCAACUUUCUGCUUUUCCUCUGUUUCAGUUUGAUUUUAAUUACGUUUAUUUCAUAUGUAAUAGCAACUGACAUAGCUACUUCUGUAUACAAAGAAACUACUACAAGAUACAAUAUUUCAAUAGUCUGAGUUUAGAAGAAGGUGAAGACAGGUAGCUUUGCAGAGAUCAUUAAAUAGUCAACCUUUAGUCUAGCUGAGAGAAAACAAACAAAACCCCUCAAUUACCAGAGAAACAGGACUUAGAAUUACAUCUUCAGAAAAGGUAAGAAGUUCCUUUCUGGUCAUUUCUUGAAUGACCCUCUCCUGACUUUCCCUUCAUUCAGUUAUUCUCCCUUUCAAAUCCUUCUUCAGCCUACUCAAAUCUCCAAUGCUGAAAUAAGUUUGAUGCUCUCUAACACUGGAUAGCUAUGGAUUUUAUUUCUUUUAGCUCCAUCAGUGCCUGAAGUGCAAAAACCUCACCCAAAAAAAAACCCCAAAACCACAAAAACAACAAACCCCAAAAAAGCAAAGGGCCACUGCUGAAGGAUACUCCUCCUCAUCAGAACUGGUGGCAGCUAUGCUCAGUAAUAGGUUUUCACCAUUUCCAUGACUGAUGCAUGGGCUGCUCAGUGACCAAAGGCAGAACUACGGGAGGUGCUGGUAAGUACCAAGUAGUGCUGUUGUACCAAUUAUUGGUCCAAAUUAGCAAAGCUUGGCUAACAGCCGAUUCACUUGUAGUUGUUAGUAAUAAGGACAGUCACUGAAAAGCCUGGGGGCAAUUCUCUAAAACGCAGUUUAUUAUCCAAAUUGUGAGAUGUAAUUCCUGAUGGCAUCAGAAUGCAUAGAGCUGGCUGUCAGCUGGCAGUAACUGCAAGGAAUCAUGCAUGUGCAGCCCCCUUGCAAACAAUACAUAAAGGCACAUUUCUCAGAGAUAUCCACUGGCAAAAACUGUCAUUAAUACUUACUGCCUUAGUUAAUGAUAACAAACUCAUGCUAACUAUUAGAAAAAGUCCAUUUCUAUUUCUGUGUUUUCAGUGCAGCUCAAUUUAAGUAUCUACUCUGCCCUUGUGAGAUCCAGCCUGGAAUACUGUGUCCAAAUCUGGAGUCCUCAGUACAUGAAAGACACGGACCUGUUAAAGAGAGUUCAGAGGAGGGCCACAAAUAUGGUCAGAUGGCUGGAGCAUCUCUCCUAUGAAGACAGGCUGAGAGAGCUGAAGCUGCUCAGCCUGAAGAAGUGAAUGGUCUGGAGUGACCUUAUAGCACCUUGUAGUACCUAAAUAGUCUUAUAAAAAAGAAAGAGAGUGAGUUUUUACAUGAGCAGGUGUUGACAGGACAAGGGACAAUGGUUUUAAUGGUUUUGAACUAAAAGAGUGGAGAUUUAUAUUAGAUGUGAGGAAGAAAUUCUUUACUGUGAGGGUGGUGAAGCACUGGAACAGCUUGCCCCAAGAAGUUGUAGAUGCCUCAUCCCUGGAAGCGUUCAAGGCCAGGUUGAAUUGGGUCCUGAGAAACUUGAUUUAGUGGAACAUGUCCCAGCCCAUGGCAGGGGCUUGAGACUAGAUGAUCUUUAAGGUCCCUUCCAACCCAAACUGUUCUAUGAUUUUGAUUCUAUGAUUUUAUGAUUCUGUGAAUGUAUGUACCAUGUCAAAUCAAGUACUGUCAUCUCAGCAGUCCCUAAUAUAUUGUCUAUUUUCUGUGAAAGGGACUUUUUCCCAAAGCCAUCUGUAUUAACUGUUUUUAUCUGCUGAUGUCUUAUUUUUCACUGAAACCUUUUUCUCUUCUGCACAGACAGAGAGUUCCCUUCUCUCAGUUCCUUUCUUUUGAAUAUUUUCAUUAGAAGGAUGAGAAAUAACUGGUACACAAAUACUAUAGCUGAUAUAUUUCAGUCUUGACAUGCUGAAAAAGAUACAGUUUGAAAGAACAAAUUACUUUCUACAGUUUUCUUAUUGCAUGUUAAAAGAAAUUUAGAUUGCAAAUAUAAAGAUUUAACAAACACAUUAAGACUUAAAGACCAUUACUUAUUAAACUAAAACUGAGAUAAUACAACAAUCAAAUUAAAAAUACUGUUGCAAAUAAAAUCAGAAAGAUGAUGGUUGUUAGAUUUAGAUUAUCAAAUUAAUCAAACUAGGAGUCAAACCCAGUUAUGAGGUUUAGACAAGAAAAAAAUGGGAUAUUUUUUUCUAGUUCCGUAUUGUGAAAUAAAUUGGUUUUGUGUCUCAGUUUAAUACAGCUAUUUUGUUCCCAUUUUUUCCCAUAGUAACAGAAAUUUUCUGACAGUGAUUCAACUAUCGUGACUGCUUUCACAGAGUUAUGCAUAGACUAGAUAUUCUCAAGGAAGUACAGAGACUGUAGCUUCCUUAGCUACAGUUUCACCACUGUUUUCCCUUUUUUAAAAUGUCAUAUUGUUCCAGUAGCUAUUCUUUUGCUUUUCUUAUUACCUUCCCUAUUGCACAUAACAACAUAAAAACCAAACAACAGAAAUAAAACAGAAGAGUGUUUACUAUAACAAGUUUCUACACACAACAGUUGCUCCAGAGAGCACUUCUGUAACUUUGACAGCACUUACUCUCAUAAAAGACCGAUUUGGGAGCUCAUUUUAAGGUUUCAGAAAGUAUUAUCAGAAGUGUUUUUUCACAAGGAUAUAUAUUCAUUCAUUAUGCUUUCUUGUGCUGGCAGAACAUGACAGACAUAGUCCUUAACAUGAGGCAGGAAAAAAAAAGAAAUAGAAGGAUACACUUUUACUUCUUUGUCUACAGAUCACCUAAGUAUGCAGAUGCUGCAUAGAUUAGCUGAAACAGUAGCUUGCUUAAAUUCUUUGACACCUGCAUGCAUCUAAUGGAAAGCAGCAGAUUUGGCUGUCUGGCAUACCCAGCUCAGCGAGUUCUUGCCUCCUCUUGCAGAUGGUGCAGUAUCCAGGAGGAGGGCAGGACACUUCUUUUAUCUGUUAUAGCUAACAGACUCCACGUUCACCUUAUGUGUGCCUUUGAUCACUCCUGGAGGUGAUUCUCUUCUAUGCAAUCUUUGAUAAUAGCACCAGGCUUCUUAAAUAUCGGAUUAAAUAGCUCAACCUUAAUACUAGAUUGUAUGGCCUAUGUACAGUUAACAUAAUCCAGUCAUAUUUCCCAGUUGAUAGGCUUUAGGGCUGAAAUCACUAUGGGGUCACUAAGCCACCCAGGAACCACCCUUGGAAAAAUUCACUGUUCCAUCCACCAAUGAGGUAAGAUCCAAAAUUGUUACCGGUAAAUUCUCUGUUAUCUGGGGUAAAUUAAGACAAACUAAUGUCGAUCCCCCAAAACAUGAUUAGUCGGAGAUAUGGUGCUGGGAUACUGAAGAAGCACCACUGAAGUCAGCCAGCAUUCAGCGUGAGAUGGAGCUGAGAACAGAACAGACUCAGAUUCCUCGCUGUGCUCUCUAGCACCCUCUGAUCAAUGGUUUCUGGCACACAGCUCUGUCUGCUCCCAAAGUGCUGCUGAGGGAGUUAAUAAACCUCUUGGAAUUCACUGCCCUGGGAGGAAUAAUGCAAAACUGUGAGGUGCUCAGCGGGGUGUUGGGACCGAGCCAGAGCAAAUGAGCCCAUCUGAUUCUGCUGAGGGACAGUUAAUUGCCUCUGAAGCAUGCACCCCAGGACUCUCGGUUCACUGUAAGGAGCAGGCUUAGGCUUGUAGGAGUCAUGAAUUGAUCAAUCAGCUGUGGAGAAGCAGCUAACACUGCUUUUGACUCACAAGUGCUGACCGUGGAAGCAGUGCAGUUGUGAUCAUACAACGCUCUGCCUGAGCCGAUAGCCUCUGCAGGUCUGAACGAGACCUGCACAGAACCAGCUACUGUGCCUGCUCUUCCUGCCAGAGUAAUCCACCAGCUGGGCACUCACCCAGAAUCGCCAAGGGUUAAGUAUAUUGGUUGCAUAAAAAACCCCAGGCAGAAGUGGCAUAAGUCUUUCUACCUUCUCUUAAUAAAUAAGCCAUAUUUGAAUCAUUUUUUUUAAAUGACUAAUGACACUCUACGCUCACACUCAUUCAUCUUUUUACCAGCAGAUGCCAGGUCAUAUAUCCUUGCAUGAAGGGAAAUUAGGGAAAUAUGUUAUAAGAUUUUAUCAAGGAGUAUUUUCAUGAUCUGCUUAGCAGAAACUGCUUCUACACUUUUUACACUAAAUUCUAUUUAACAUCACUUAAAUGUAAGGUAAUUCUUUAACACAGUUUUUUCCCCAUUCCUCAUGGUCUCUCUAGCACUUGCAUUUACUGCAACUACUGGUAGCAAAUUGAAUAGAAAUGCAAGCAGCAGUUUUUCAACAGAAAGACACUUGCUGGCAAGAUUCCUCAUCCCUGUUUUCUUUACUUUUUUUUUUUCUUAUUGAAGAGCAUGGAAAUUUAGUAGUUUUCUCCAUGCCUUGCAGUUCCUUGUCUAGAUCACCUGCUGGAUGCUAUUACACCACCAUUACUUCUCUGACACUCAAUUCUGAUGAAUCUCCCUUAAAAACUGUGACAGUGGUUCUAUUAGAUGGGAGUAAUUCCAUACUUGCAGUCUCAUUGACAUGAAAUUCAAUUAAUUUUGAAUUAUGAUCAGAAACAUGGAAUAGAUUUGAUUUUGCAGAAAGUUGACAUUUCAACACAGAGAGAUGUGUGUUAUACUGAUUUAUGUGAUUAGGGAAAAAUACUAUGAAAUAUUUUUCCUUUAUGGUACUCAUCUUCAAGAGAGAGAUUCUUUAUUUAUAUGAGCAGAGGGAGAGUGCUUUGACCUCAGAAGGAAGAAACCUGAUUGUCCCCUCUUCUGAUUGCUGUGUUAUAUAUCUGUGUACCUCAAAAGUUCAUUGUGUAGCUAAGCCUCAAACUUUCCCUGAGAAAGCUGCCAACUAUCACCUCCCGGUUAAUCAUAAAGUGACACUGCACACUAACUCUUAGUUAACAUUUUGGCAGAGCUCGACAAAAGUGCUUUAUUUCUGGAGCUUCACUUGCUCGGGCAGAGUCCUCCUGGAAUGAAUGUGGCAAACAGGAUUUUGCAUAUUCUCUAGGAGGGCUGAAGAGCAUUCAAACUCUGCUGAUUGACUGUGAAAAUGAGCCCUGUGGUCACAUAAUACUGAUUUUUCCCCCUCCAGUUUUCUUUAAGAGAUUGUGUUAUGUUAUAUAUCUUUUGGUUAACUCUUAUUAAAAAAGUAUAAUCUGUCAAUGAUGCCAUCAAAUACUAAGCACAAACAUUUCUCUGUUAAUAGGAGGCAUAUUUAUGGAUCUCACUUUUAUUACUUUAUUAGCCUUUCACACUUUAUUGAUAUGUCUUAUAGUGACAAUAUUGGAAGUUGAGGAACAUAUAUAGUCUAUUGGUAUUUAAACAGCAAAGCAAAUAUUGUGAAUGUCUGUCUGGCUUUUAUGCCACCUUCCAUUCUAGAUCAUUUUGUUUUGUUACAAUGCUUCCACAAGUUUUCAUGGGAUUACACAAGUAUCACAGAAAAACGUGGUCUUUCAUUAUUUCCCAUUUUGUUUUGGUCAGUUUGGUCAGUUGGGUUCAGCUAUUCCAGCUGUGUCCCCUCCCAGCCUCUUGCCUACCCUCAGCCUACUUGCCUUUGGGGAAUGGGGAGGAGGUGAGAGACAAGAAACAAGAGGUGGUCUUGAUGCUGCGGGAUAACUGGUUAGCAAUAGCCAACACACCAGUGUGUAAUCCACACUGUUCUAGACACAGACGCAAAGCACAGGGCGCUGUGGGCUGUUGGGAAGAACAUUAACUCCAUCCCAGUCAGUAAGCUUCUUACUACCCUCCGUGGACAUAAAAUAUCUUAUGAUGCUUCCCGAAAGAUCUGAUGUUUCCUUCCCUCUUUUACGACCUUACUAAGGCUGGCAAAUAUUAAACGUCUGCAUCUGGAUUUUCUUAUUCACUAUGCUGUGAGGUGUAAAUUACUUUGCUUACUUCACUUUAAAAAGAAUAGCAUACAUUUUAAGCAAUUUAAUCUGAAGAUAAAGAUUUAAAAACUUUCCCCAAACCGGAAUUAUUCACAAAGAUAAUAAAUGGAUACUUUGAAUCUAGAGCCCUUCAUUCAUUUUAGGAAUUCAGUUUUUGCAGUCACCUGUCAAAGACAACCAUUAAAAACUACAACAUACUAAAAAAGAAAAGUUUGCAGACAGAUUUCUUUGAUAUGGCAAAUAGUUCUUGGCAGUGAAAGAAAGAAACUGUGAUGUGAGCUGUUCUUUUAUUUUUGCUUAUUAUAAUAAAUGCCAGCCUACAGAUGGAAUUCAAGCUGUAAUUCCAAAUAUAUUAAAUGAUCUACUUUAAAAAAUGAGUCAAGUGAGUCCUCUCUUUUAAAGGCUGUGAAAAAGAAAUCAUCUUUUUUUUAAACUUGCCAGUAGAAAAGGGGAUAAGCGGGAAGUACAAUUGAUCCCAUCUAAAAUCUUACAGUUGAGAACAUUUAUUAUGGCAUAAGGCAGAAAGGGAUAGAUGCUUAUAAAUGAGAUCCAACUUUCUCUCCAGAUGCUUUCUGCCGAAAUACUAUUCAGAGUGAACCUUUAAAACUUGAAUUUGGAAAGCAUAAACCAUGCUAAAAUAAAUCUAAGCUGAUAUAUUCAUUUGUAACAAAAUGAAUGUGACACAUCAUGGCUAUGACAAUGUGUAAUUUCACCCUGAGAAUUCAGUUUUCAGAGGUGAUUUAAUUUUCUUUAAAACAUUAUUGAAAACUACAAGACACAGAUUAGAAUCCUUGUCCCAUAUGGAUAUUAAUUUUGAUAAUGUUCACUCUACAACUAAAAUACAAUAGGCAAAUCCACUAUUUGCUAAGCCAUCUAUGAUGGAAACGGUUGAUACAUAAUUGUUUAAAUGCUCAGUAGGAUUAUCAUUCUAAUGCUUAAAUACUCUAACAGGAGGUAGGAUAAAGGUUAGGAAAAUUAGAUGACUUAUAAAUGCUUCAUUAAAUAUUUUUUCAGGCAUUAAAGCAAUCCAGAAGGAGGACACGAACUCAAUCUACUGCUCUCUGUAAAGUUUGUACAUACAGUGUAAGACAUGAUAAAGUUAAACUGCACUGAGAGAUAUGUCCAUGGUAUGGAGCUGUUUGAUAAAUGCUGUUGCAGUGUUUGUCUUAGUCCUCAAACUGUGCCUACUGAAGUCAAUGGGAGUUUCUUACUGCAUCUACAGGCAACAAAUAAGGUCUAGAUUCUUUACAUUUGCUUUGACAUUCUGUUUGAUAUUCACAAAUACAGUGCUGUUCUCCCUGCUGUUGUGUUUGUAUGCCAGUGUACGUAGACAUGCACACUAUUAAGACCUAGAUGUGGGAUUGAAUUCUCUGCCUUCACACCUGAAUGCCUAUCACAAUGAGUUACUGUGCACCUUUCACGUCAUGGGGAUGUAUAGCCUUAAUUAACCAAGCUGUGUUAAAAUCACAGCUCCAACAUUUUGAUUUAGCAAAGUGUUUAAUCCUGUGCCAACUGUAAGCAUGUAAGUAGUCCUGCCGAGUUAAUGGUGCUCCUCACGUGGCUGAACUUGAGCAUGUACUUAAUUGCUUGAUUUGGGGCCAGAGCGCCCAGAACGCUGUGGGAGGGAGCUGUGGGUGGGGGAAUAUGCUCUGCUAAGGCAGGCACCACUCAGGUAGUAAUGGCUUAGUUCAAAACUCUUUCUUUCCUACAGGCCAAAACUUUGAAGAAGCCAAAAGUUUCUGCAGUUUUGAAAGGAUCAUCAUAGCUCAAAAUUCAAGGCAAUAGGGGGAGUGAGAUGGCAGUACGGACUGGAUAUAAAUCACAAAAAAAAUAGGAUCAGAAAGAACAAGAAGAUUAUGAGAUAUAGAAAAAUGUCAAAACUAAUAAGAGGAGAUUUCAUCUACCCAGACACACAGGAACAGGGACACAAUGAGAGAAAUAAAUCAAGCAACAGUCAUGUACUAUAUCCUCAAUGUAUUAAAAGGUGGCAAGAAAGACGAAAAUUCUGACUUUCAACAGUGCAGCUGUUAGGAGACAGAGGUGAAGGACUCACUAAUGACCAUAAUCCAGUUGGAUUCAUUACUGCAGACUGCACCCACAAGAGGAAUAAAGAACCCCAAGGACUUUGAAUAUAGAAGAAUGGGGAAGUGCUGGAGGCAAUCCAGUGGGUUAAGCGUCUAAUGGAAGGAGUGGGAGGAAGGAAGGACACAGAGGAAAUGGAAACUGUUCAGAAAGCAAUUACAGCAUAUCCAAGGGUGAUGCAUUUUAUCCAACAGUAUGUACACUAGGAGGAGAAAAAGACCAUAGGAAAUAAAAACAGAAUUGAAAAAUAUAUUAAGAGAUAAAUAAAAGGGAUACGUAAGUGUAAAAUUUCAGGUGCAGAGGGAGAACAGAAAAUAUAUACAAUUAAUUUAAGAUACAUGAAUGCAAAUAUACAAAAAGUGCAAGCAGAUAAUGAAAUUAAAUUAGAAAUAGGCUAAUAUGAGAGUAUAUCCCUAGCAGAUGCAACAAAAACUCUGCAAAGAAAGCAGCAGGUUUUCAGGGUGAAACCAAAGCAGCAUGAUACUAUGUGCUGAUUCAAGCCCCAUUCCUCACGGCUGAUUUUACUGUUACUGAAAGAAAAGCAAUUGGCAACACUUGUUUUUAGACAAAGUUUUCUCCAUUUGCAACACACUGGGAGAAAGACAAUCCUGCUAUCUCCAUCUCACAGCCACCAAUCCCAGAGCAUCCCAGGUGAAUGAAAUGUAACCACAUAUUAUCCUUAGCAGACACUGCAAGAUGCUCAGGCAGUUGCCUCUUUCACUGCCAUUUCACCUUCAUUUUGCCCAAGCUGGAAAUUAGAAAAUAGAGGAAGCACUGAGUUUGAAGAGAUAUUUGCAGUUUAGACAGGACACAUUUGUACUUUCAGGCUAGUUCAGGCAGUCAGAUGGAAAACACAUCUUGGUAUAAUUUUGGGUGUAAUUUUUGGAUAGUUAGUUUGCCUGGGCCAAAAACAUCCCAAGAAGCAUCCUGAAAAAUUAUAAAUAUCUAGUUAAGCUGCUGUGCCAGAGAGUGUUCCUCAAUAUUACUUGAGACUGUUGCCAUGUGCCCUUGUGAAGAACUUCCUUCUAAGCACUCUUCUCUUUCUGUCUUUUCACUAACAACUGAGGAAAUCUAUGGAGAUCUUCCUUCCCAAGCCAGUCACUGGCCUUUUCCCUUCUCCAUCCCUCAGCUAAAAACAUAAGCUCAUAAUACCAAAAUAAGACAAGGUAAGAUGGUUCAGGUCAGAGGACUUGUAAUAUCUUGGACAUUCCUAGAGCCAGCCCUUCCUAUGUGUUUUCUCCGUGGCAACAUAUUUCUGUCAGAAAGCUACAGCUGAAAUUUAAAACACAAUAGGAAGAAGCAUCAAAACAAUAGACAAUUAGCCAGCAAAAUCACACUACCUCUAAUAUUAAUCAGUUAAGUCCACAACAGAAAAUCUUUUGUGGAGAGCAGAAGGCUACAUCUCCUAAUUUACUCCUGCUAAUAAUGCCAAGGUUGUGGGUUUGAACCCUGUUUGGGCCAUUCACUUUAGAGUUGGACUCGAUGAUCCUUGUGAGUCCCUUCCAACUCAGAAUAUUCUGUGAUUCUGUGUAUUUGAACCAGAGUAAUAAACUGCGUAGGACAGCAUUGUUACUUUAAUCACUUCUGUCUACAUGUCUUGUUUUGUGAGCAAAUUUUCUCCAAUUUUGUUCAUUCAAGAGUCUGUAUGCUUCUGGAAAGCAAAAUGCAACAUAGGCAAAGCCAAAAGCAACAGUGUAAAAUGACAAGUGGCAAUAGGAGCAAUGUUGUACAAUUUGAGAAACUGUUCCACUCAAUCAAAUGUUGCAUUUGGAAACAACAGAUAGGAGGGCAGGUACUUUCUUAUCACCAUUUGUAGUGGAAGUACAACUGCAGCUCCAGUCUGUUUGAGAUGGUGCAGCACACAGUGGGAUACAGAAAAAUAAUAGUCAGAGAUGCUGCUUAAAGCCACAAGAGAAAGCACGGAUUGGCUUAACAAAGACACAGAAAGCCCUUGAUAUUCAUGAGAUUCAGUAAGCUCUGAUAAAUAGCUUCUUCUGAUACUUAACCCUUUAUAACUUAUGGUUGUUUUUAUUCUUGCUGUAGUAUAUGCUCUCACUCUUGUGUGGAACAGAGCUAGUGGAAGCAUUCACUGGGAAAAAAGGUGAGGACCACAUACACCAGAUAUUAUAAUGUACCACUUCCCCUGUAAAGCAUAGUGCAAUUAAUUUCCUCGUGACAGCUUCUGAACCAAGAAAAUAUGUAAAAUAGAUAUAGAAUAUUCAGAGGUUUUUAUUAGCUUUGUUUAGUAUUUUUCACACUAGUCAAAGUUGCAACAACAGAUUUCCUGUUCUCAGACAUCUCUGACUUUACUCCGUUCUUUCAGAAAAAUAAGCAUUUAUCUCCUAAUGGAGUUUUCUUUAAGACAAAACAAAAUCUGAAAACAACACAAAUUUCUUAAUAUUAAAUUGCAAUGUUAAGCAGAAAUACAAACUUGAGCUUUAUUGAUAGUUAUACUAAAUUACUUUAUUUAUUUGCUUAUAUAUAAAACAUGUUCACUGCAGUUUAACACAUCAGGACUAUCUAAUGUAUAGAGAAUAUAUUGCUCUUUAUACAACUUCCACAUGAAUAUACAGAUUUAAUAGCAUAACUCCAUCACUUGAUUGGCAUAAAAUACACUUGACUAUAGAUAUCUCUGUCCCUUCUGAUGUGAGUCUAUAAACCAGUGUAUAUUUGUACUGUCCUUUAUAAUUCAGGAGCACACAUACUGUAUAUAAAUGUGCCUUGACUUUGCUUUUCUUUCAAGUACUGCAUGAGUGAGAAUCUUCAAUAACAGAAGUAAAGCACUUAAAGCUAUCUGCUCCCCUCUGCGCCUUUCAGCAAUAAAUAAUACCCCAAUCCUUGCUCUUGGGGUAAAGAGGGCUAAACCCUUGCUCUUGCAAGGAAACCUUCUGAUUUCAAUUGUGUUCCACAUAGAUCAAGCUAAAAGAUAAAGGUUUAAAUCACUAAUUGCAAUAGUUUGGUUUUGGGUUUUUUUGUGCAUAACUCUGUUUUUCCCUACAAAAUAUUCUGAAUUUCAGAACAUGGAAAAACAGGACAUUUGGCAUAAACUUUUCAUUUGAGGUUUUUUUAAACAUCUGAACAUACAUUUUAUGUCUUCUGAACAACGGUAAAGGCAUUUGAAAAAAAAAUACUUUGCUGAAACUGUAAUUAAAAAAAACCCUCUUUCCUAAAAGCUUUUUUAGGUGAGCUAAAUUAUACUGGACAUAUAUAAAUAAAAAAGAGCAAAGAAGAACAUGAACAUAUAUUACUAGUGUAAUUCAUCAAAAAUAGUUGACACUUCAAUCUAACCCAGAAAUGAAAACACAGAACUUUAUAGAGUUAUAGGAAGUAAGCAAUUUAAACGUACCAUGGCACAAGGUCAUCUAACAAUGAAGCUGGGAAGAUAUUCUCUUUUUAUUCACUUUCCUUCACUCCUUUAAUCCUUCUGAAUCUAUCAAGUACAGAUUAAUAUAAAUCUUUUUAACAGCCAGAGGUGAUCUUCAAUCAGAUAAUUAAUAGUAGUGGUCCAAGUUUUCUAUAACAGGUCCAUCUUUCCAUUUUAAUAUAAAAUGAAAGGGUACUUUAUGUAACUAAGCUAUCACUCUGGGAAAGGUUUCUUUUUCCAUAAUAAAGUAAUGUAUGCCUUACCUAAUUAGCUCAUUAUUUUAAAAUGUAAUUUUUUUGUAAAACUCACUGAGCUACUUCAUCAUGCUUAAAAGGCUACUGAUGUGGAAAAAAACAAUUCUCGGAAUAUACUCACUGCUGCUCAUUCAAAACACUCACUUGCCCAAUCACUCCCCACAUAGUCUGAGCUAAAUAUAUGAGGCAGAGGAAAUGCACUCCAUUUGCUUUGAAAGUAAACCUCCAAGGCCAUUUCAUAAGCAAAAAUCAUAUCCAUGUCAUAGAGAUACUGUAGUUAAGUUUAUGAUUCCAAUUUGGCUUGGAAAGCCUUCCAUACUCUAGAAAAAAAUACUUCACUAAUCUAUAUGUAAAUACUUCAGUAAAACCACUGAACAGUGAUCAAGUUCAGUAUUAAUAUCACAAAUUAAAGAUGUCAUCUGAAAACAUACCGUCUAGAAGAAUGAUCAGAGCUCAUGCUGAAGAAUAAUCCGUGUUUUCAGCAGCCUAUAAACACCAUGGAAAAAACUGCAGUAUUGUAUUCAUUAAGUCUCAGUGUUAUAUACAAAAAACAGUAAAUAAUGAAAUACAGCCAGUGAUAUGGUGGCAGCCGGAUGGGUAGCAGACAAUCACAUGGAAAUGUCAGCCUGAAGAAACUCAUGGUAGGACUAGCAGAUCUAUGUUGUACAGUUCAACUUGGGAAUUAAAUAUACUUUCUGGGCUUGCAUUUCUAUUAUACACUGUUAAAUAAGAAAAAAACCAACCCAACAACCCAAAUAACUCCUCAAUUUCUAAUUAUUUGGUUGAUUUAGUGAAAGUGUGUUUAUUUAAGUAGAUGAAACCGCACAUUUAUUUGCCCCAGGGGAGAGUGAGAGGAAUUAGCCAAAUACCUUUUUGAAGUCCUGUCAAGAGGCAAUGAUAGUUGUAUUGGAGGAAGGCACAAGCAUCCCAUACUUCCCAAUGUGUGUAGUGUUUUUGUAGCUCCUAGACACAUGGACUGUCACCUGUUUACACCACUGUCCACCUCCAUGUGGGCCAGCAGUGCUCUGCCCCAGGACUCAGUUUUCACACAGCAGCAUGGAGACAAGCCAGCUGGAAUGGGCAAGUCCAUGAUUGUGAUGGAAAAAUGAAGCAAUUAAAACAAAAGCAGGAAGGUUUUUUUAAGCCUGCUUGUAGCACUGAGACUGAAGGACACUAGAAUGGCCUGCGAAUUCCUUCUGUCUGGGCACUGGAGCCCAGCCCGGUGCCCAGGGAUCUGGGGCCUCUAUUCAGACUGAUGGACAUGGCUGAUGCUUUUCCCUUUGUGGAAAAGGUAAGUAUGUAUCCCAGAAACACACAGACACACAGACACGUGGACACACACAUACACAGACGACACGAACACAGCUGUUCACACAAGCAGACAUAGAUAAGGCAUUGCCCCAACAGGCCCCACACUCAGGACUCACAUCAGACACAGGCACAUUCAGACACAUCCCCUUCUCCUCUUGGGCUGGCAGAGGCAGAAGGUCACUAGUGCAGCACACACACUGCACUGCUCAAGUUCACAGAAUCACAGAAUUGUUGGGGUUGGAAGCGAUAUCUGGAGAUCAUCUAAUCCAACCCCCAUACUAAAGCAGGUUCACCUUACAGCAGGUUGCAUAGGAUUGUGUCCAGCCUGUUUUUGAAUAUCUCCGGGGAAGGAGACUCCACAACCUCUCUGGGCAGCAUGUUCCAGUGCUCUGUCACCAUCACAGUAAAGCAGUUUUUCCUCAUAUUCAGAUGGAACUUCCUGUGUUUCAGUUUUGGCCUAUUGCUCCUUGCCCUGUUGCUGGGAAACACCAAAAAGAGCUUGGCUCUGUCAUCUUUAUACCCUCCCUUAAGAUAUUUGUAUACAUUGGUAAGAUCCCCCUCAGUUAUCUAUUUGCCAGGCUAAAUAGGCCCAGCUCUCUCAGCCUUUUCUCAUAAGAGAGGUGCUCAAGUCCCUAUCAUCUUCAUAGCCCUCCAUUGGACCCUCUCCAGUUUUUCUUGAACUGAAGGAGCCCAGAACUGGACACAGCAUUCCAGAUGCAGCCUCACUAGUGCUUAGUAGAUGGGCAGGAUCACCUCCCUCAACCUGCUGGCAAUGCUUGUCCUAAUGCACCCCAGGAUACCAUUGGCCUUCCUGGCCACAAGGACACACUGCUGGCUCAUGGACAGCUUGUUGUCCACCAGAACUCCCAGGUCCGUCUCCACAGAGCUGCUUUUCAGCAGGUUGGCCCCCAGCCUGGGGUUAUUCUUCCCGAAGUGCAGGACCCUGCAUUUUUCUUUGUUGAGCUUCAUUAGGUUCCUCUCUGCCCAACUCUCCAGCCUGUCUAGGUCUCACUGAAUGGCAGCAAAAUCUUUUGGUGUGUCAGCCACUCCUCCCAGUCCUGUAUCAUCUACAAACUUGCUUUCCCUUCAUCCAGGUCUUUGAUGAAUAAGUUGAACAAGGCUGAACCCAAUACUGAACCCCAAGGAACAAUGCUAAGCUACAUGCCUCCAACUAGACUCUGUGUCUCUGAUCACUACCCUCUGAGACCUACCAAUCAGCCAGUUCUCAAUCCUCCUCACUGUCCAUUCAUCUAACACACGCUUCCUUAGCUGUACACAAGCACACACACAUUUAUAGAUCCCCUGAGCACUGGCACAGCCCCUCUGCUCACCCUGCACCCCUUCCUGGAUCCUGGCCCCCUUACUCAUCCCAGAAGCUCCCGACUCACUGGCUGAUCCUGCUGGAUGCUCACUGCACACACACAGCACUCACACACUUGUCCCACCAGCACCCCACACUCGUGGGUUCCCUCAAAUACCAGCAUAGACCCUCUGCCCACCUGAUAUCCCUGGCUGGACCCAGCGUCUCCUACACCCUAGUGGGUUCAGCUUGGAGUUUGCCAGUGACUGCAUAUGCGCAACACACAUGGUUUGGGGCAGGUAUGGCAUUUAGAACUGGAGGUUUUGCUCAUACUCAGAUUUAGUGUGUGGCUGCUGAGAAGUCAUUUGAGCUACUUUAGUCCUCAGCUCCUUUUCUCCUUUUCUUCAGGAGGCAGUGAGCCUGCCCACUUCAUAGUGCUGUUCUAAAGAUCAGCACGCUCGAGUUUUGAGGUUGUCAGACAUUUGAGUCAUAAGGCCUGAAAAAAAAAAAAAAAAAGAAGAUAGAGAAUAUCUUGAUGAAGAUACUGAAUAAAAGCUCCCUUCAAAGCAAAAGGAAGGAAUAGGGAAGAUUAAAAAAGGCAUCUCACCUGAGAGGUUCAAAGCACAAAAGAGAAGGACGGAAUUCCUUUUACCCAGCCUCAGUCAGGUGCCCAUAUUAGCAGGUCAUCUCAGCAGCAAAAGAGAAUCAACAUUUAUGAUGUUCAGAAAGCAAUUUAUGUUACAUGUCAUUUCUUAUUAGAGGCACUUAAUCAGCUACACUUAAGAGUAAGAAGCCUUCCCUAGUCCAGGCAUUCGCUGGCUAUCAGAGCUAGACUUGAUGUGUAUACCAACCCCUCAUCUACCACUGAGCACUCACAGAAAUGUAAUGUGCAUUUGGGGACAACAGACACAGUACAUUUCAGUUGUUCCCUUAUCUAGAAAGCUGGGAAUGAUAUUAAAAUGAACCACACUAGAAAGGUGUAAACACAGCCUUCCUGACUGUUUUUUACAGCCUCCACUUGCUUUUUCAGAGUCACCAAGGAUCUGUAUCUGAGUAAAAAGUGAACUGGAGCCUAAAUCCCAUUCCAGUAAUGUAUUCAUAACCUUCACAUACUGCAAAACUUCGAAGAACUUCAGUUCUUAGUCUAGAUUGCCUUGGUCUGUGCACAUAGCUAACCCUAAGUCAGGAUCACUGAGAAAAACACACAGACCGCCCACCUCUGAAGAAUAUGAGAUACUCACACAGAAUCACAGAAUAAGAGAAUCAUAGAUUAACAGAAUGGCAAUGGUUGAAAGGGACCACUGGAGGUCAUCCAGUUCAUACUUCCUGCUCAGGCAGGGUCCCUUAGAGCAUGUUACUCAGGAUUCUGUCCAGACAGCUUUUGAAUAUCUCCAGCGAGGGAAACUCCACAACGUCUCUGGGCAAUCUGUUCCAGUGCAUGGUCACCUGCACUGCAAAGAAGUUUUUCCUCCUAUUCAGGUGGAACUUUUUGUAUUCCAGUUUCUGCCCAUUGCCUCUUGUCCUCUCGCCUAACCACUGAGAGGAGCCUGGCUCCAUUCUCUUGACACUGUCCCUUCAGAUACACGCCUGAUAGGCCUGGCUCUUAACCCUUCUCUAUUUCCCUUCUCAUAUGACUGCUGUUGGCUGACUUUUCAGUUUGGUCUCUGUUUUUCAGUUUGUCAAUUGUCUAGGACUUUUCUGUCUCUCAAAAGAGAUUUAAGAAUUGCCUCAUGAAAGGACAGGGACCUUGGCGAUUCGCCUCCCUGCUUAGCUAGUAUCCCUCUCCAAGUAGAAAGACAAUUGACAAAUGAGAUGUAUAACACUACAGGACUCCCUACUGUGGCUGCUACAUAACAACUAUUGCCUGUCAUUAAAAGUCUCUCGGAAGCUUUUACUAAACUUGGAAAAAAAACUUUGCAGUGGUUGGUGCCCCAGAAGGUACAGUAAGUUUUAUAAAGAAUUUUUGCAGACUUUAGACACCUUGGUGUUCAUGCAAUACUCAGAUAUAUUUCCGUAUCGACUUAUGAUAAUUUCUAGUAAAUCUAGCCCUUUGUCAAGAAAAAAGAUAUAAUUUUUUUCCUUUGAGGAAUAAAAUACAUAGAAAUUUCACAUUCCCUUACCACGUAAGAUAAUUAGAUAUUAUUUGUUUCAUUAUUAAGAUUGUUAAGGUUGGAUAUGUCCUCCCAGUAGGUAUCUCUAUUAAGAUUAUACAUCUAUGUCCAACAUUAAUCAGCUCCACACACUUUUAAAAUGUGUCAUUUGCCUAACAUUGAAGGCCUUAAAGGAGACCAUACCAACCCAAAGAAACACUUUAUAUUCUCAGCUACUUGAUAAUGUAUAGAUGUAAAGACAGAUUUAAACUUUUUAAACCUAGUUUUUAGACUUUUUAAACUGUAUUGCUUGUCUUCACUUCCCCUUUUAUUGCUUUCAGCUAAUUUGUGUUGAAGACUAUGAGCAAGCAGGUGUAAUGAGAAGAAACAGAAGAGGACUCACAAAACAUAUGGACUACAUUUUUCAAUAUUAGGCAUAAUCUAGUGUGUAUUUCUAAAUUACACAUAUAGAAACUAACAGAAAGUAAAUGACUGUGUGCAACAGCAAUACCUGACUUGUACUGCACAGGAAGUAUUGGAUUAAAGAAUCAACUGCAUAUUUCAAGUUUUGAGUGUCUAGUUUUGAAAUUUUAGCCCAUAUAUCCAUUUACUCCAAUAAGUAGCAGUAAUAAGUAAAUCACUUUUACUCUUAUCUGUUUAAAUGGUACUUAUGCAAGGAAAAUGGACAGACAUUUGGACAAGAGGAAAAUGGUUGGUUUAGCUCUUUUUGUCUCUAUCUGGAGACAUAUUCCAUAAUGCAAAAACAGAGGCUACAAAAAACUCUAAACAUACUGGAGUACGAAGUGUUAUCUGUAAGAAAAAAAAAGAAAACUCACAGACAGCUUGUUUAUGACUUUAAGAGUGUAAACACACAUCUAUUUUAUUUAAUUCAGUAAUCCUCUGACAAAACUUGUGAUGUGUUUGAUCAUCAGACUUCUUGUUCAGCUUCCAUCAUAGAAGUAUCUCUGCUUUCCUCAGGGGUAUUGACAGCUGGCAGCAAUCAAAGUCAUCUAACUGCCAGUAUCUCAUUUAAAGGGAAUGACAUUCAGCUACAAAACACCAAAAUUACUUUAAAUCACUGCACAGUACUGUACUAUGCAUCUCAAUGAAAAAAUACAACCUCUCUUAGAAAGGGAGACAUUUAGACCCUUUUUUCUGGGAAGGGUUUUGUUCGCUAACCAGUACCUCGAAGGUGAGCAGUGUACGACAUCACUUGUUCUUGAGUGAGACUCAAGCAUAAGUCAGCCAUGUCUAUCAUAAUCCACUUUGAAUAUGUUGUCUUUGAGUUAAACCAUAUGAAGCAGUCUUCUUCAGAAUUAGUGUAAUCGGUUUAUCUGUGGCCUUUCAAACA